GGAAUCUUCCACAAUGGGCGAAAGCCUAAUGGAGCAACGCCGCGUGUGUGAUGAAGGGUUUCGGCUCGUAAAACACUGUUGUAAGAGAAGAAUGACAUUGAGAGUAACUGUUCAAUGUGUGACGGUAUCUUACCAGAAAGGAACGGCUAAAUACGUGCCUG
rnacentral:rRNA from 1 species